UUAACUUGGUUAUGUAUUAAUCUCUUUUAUAUUUAAAAGGGAUUUACUUAUCAAAUGUUUCCAAGACAUUUGAUUAUGUCUCUUUAAUGUGUUCGAAUACUUUGAUGAGACCUUGAUUCCAUGGCUUGAGCUAUCGCCCCAUUACGUCGUAGUACUCUACUAACGACCUUAUGGUUUGGAUUCAAUCAUGGGUUCUAAAAGAACCCCUUUCAUUCAAAACACCUUUUGAAGCAGUUUCUAAAACUAUAUAUCUACAUAUAUUUCGUUUGUAUACUUUAUACAAACUUUGCUCCAAGCUUGAGACCAUUGUAGUACAAUACUAACAAUUCAUUCAUAUGAUUGGUACUUCAUCCAAUAUGAAGUUCCAUUUGCUAAAAUGGCUUAUUUUCACUUUGGUUAACAACCUAAGUGAAUGCACGCUUCCAGAGUCCCACUCUGAUGUUUCUUUCUUAAAGGCAAUAAUACUCUAUCAGUUGCUUUGGUUCUGAUCCUGGGAUAUAGUAAUAUCUUAAAGUGAUAAACUCAGUGGUUUCUUCACCUUUGGAUAUCUACUUCACAAGUCAAUACAUGUGUCCCUUUUGUGAUUUUAUGACACAUUCAUUAUAAGGGUUUUGAAAGUGAUUUCCUAUCACAUAGGAAAAUGCUUUCUUAAAUCUACAACAUUUGAGAUUUAAUUCCCAUAUAACAUUAUUGAGAUAGCCUUGCUAUAUCAGUAAGUCCAAUUUCAAGUCUAUACUUCAAAAUUGACCGUGUCAUGUUUUGUCAUUUUCGAGUAACAUCUAUGUUUCAUCAAGUCUAUCAAAUAGACUUUAUUCAUAUCAUGUUGCUCAAAUUAUAACAUCACUCCCACUGGCCUUGUUGUAACUUAGCAUUCAUUCAAAAUUAACAAUUAUAUUUUCUUGAUUUGAAUGCAUAUUGCUCCCACUAACUUGUCUUGGAUCCAUUGAGAAUCAUUGAGAUCCAUUAGCUUAUUGAUGAUGUCUCAACAAUUUUGAGACCAUCAACAACCCUAGCUAACACAAGUUAUUUAAACGAAUCACAUACAAAAGAAUUCCUUCUAAAGUAAUUCCUUUUGAAUAUGUGACUUGUUUUAUCAAGUCUAUUCAUUUAAAUUAUACGAUGUCAUACACCAUACUACAAGUUUUAGUCAUACUAAGACCUUUAAUGUAGUCAUAUAAGAAUUUUCUAAGUCUUUAGUGGAAGCAUGGCUCCUACUAAGGAUAUAGAUUCUCAACCAUUCCUUCUAGGUGGUUGAUAUAAUUCUCUAUUAAAACUACAUAGAGCAAUAUCGUUACAUGAGAUGUUGAAUUUGGAUUGUCUUGUUGUUAAACCAUAUGUUGUGACUCAUUUUGAAACUUAUUCCCUUUUGUUUCAUCAACUUGUCCAUAUGCUUUGUUAUUAGCAUGUUCUCAUAAAAGAGAAUGAUGGACAACUCCCAACAUAUAACCAUUUUAUGCUAGGUUGACGAAACCAACAUUCAAAGACUAUUCUUUAAAUGUUACACAACAUAGAAUUUUAACGUGAAGAGCUUGAGUCCUUUUAACAAUUAAAAUUACAAACUCUUAAUAAUAGUCAAGUACUAUUAUUCUUUAGACAACUAUAAACCAAUCACAUUCAAGUUUAUAUCCAUUUUCACGCCUCCCACUAUUUCUCAUGACUUUAAUGAGAAAUCAUUUCAUUCAUUCAAAAUGUAUAAAAGUGGAUUAUAUUGGUAGAAGACAUUGUGUAGUAGCUUUGAAACAUUUCAAGCUUAUUUGUUUCAAUCUUCACUAAGUUUAAUGUCUUGUUAUUUAAGCGACUAAAAUCUUUAAACCUUUUUAUAGAUUUAGACACUUCUUUCUUGGUUUAAUCACUAACACAAUUGACCUUUUAAAACAAUUUUAAGAAUACCCAAUUAAUUGUUCAAAACUACUAAUUGAAUCAAGAGUGAUCUUGAUCAUUGUGUUUAAAGUGAUAACCAUAUAAGAAACAAUUUUCUUAUUACUUAUAUCAUUAUAAUGUGAUCUUCCUUUUCAUCAAGAAAGGAAUCUCUAGACUUUUGUCAAUUCAUAUAGAACUCAUAAGUAGACAAAUGGAACCAAAUCUAAAGAUUCAUUGUAUCCUUUUAUGUUCUACAUGUGAGAUCUAUCCAUAAUUGAUAAAUCUAAAGUUUGGUUUAUCACAUUAAAAUUAAGUGAUAUAACUCUUGUAUCUCAUCUAGGAUACAACAAGACAAUUUUCAAUUCAUAACACUACUUUAAGGAAAUAGUAUAUUAAAAAGGCAUACUUCACAUUACAUUAAUAUGAUAGUUCAAACAUUCAUAAUGUUUAAUACAAAAGGUAUUAGCUCUAUACAUUUAGAGACUAAUAUGAAUGCCUUUAUACAUUUAGGCACUAAUAGUGGCCUUCCAUCAAAUGAAGCCAUAUAAUUAGUUCUUAACAAAAUAAGAAAGUUUAAAGACAAUCUUUAAAUGCCUAACAAACUUCCUAAGUAGUAAGCAAAAAACAUGGUGGCCGAACUCUUCUCCACACUUUUCCUUGCUUGUUCCUCUUCUACUUGGCUCCUCCACCUAUAUACAAUUAUACAAGUGAUUAGCCCUUUAUAUCAAAUAUAAAUAUUUAGAAGAUCUAACAAUUAGAAUUGAAGAUAAGAACACAAACCAUACCUUGUGGCUUGUCCUUAAGAGUUGCAAGGUAUAACCUGCAAUUCCUCUUCCAAUGCCCCUCCUUUCCACAGUGGUGGCAAGUCCCUUUGGGCUCCAUUGCCUUCUUUUUCCUCACUCCUCAUUUCGGCUUAGGAGUGGGGGACUUCUUCUCCUUCCCUUUGCCUUUGCCUUGCGGCUUAGCCUUGGAAGAGGAUGGCUUGUUGUAGG
rnacentral:lncRNA from 1 species